CCAUGAUGGUCCUCUAACAGUCAAACUGAGUGAAGAGAGCUUCCAGCAGCUUUUGUGUCUCCUCCAUGAAAUCCAGGACAAGGACUUGACGUUGUCCUUCUUCAGUAAGGUUGGUGGAGACCUGACCUCCUGCUGUCUGAACUGGGAGCUUCUUCACUAUCUGCUGCAGCAGUCGUCAGCUCAGACCAUCACUGUGGACCUGAGGAAGAACCUCUUCUUACAGGAGGAAACCACACGUCUGCUUCCCUUUCUGGACAGGAUUGUGUUUAAAAGGCCCAGUCCCAGCUUUGUGCUGAGCUCCAUCAGAGAGCUCUACAGAGCUCAUGACAGUCACGCUGUACCCAGUUUACUGAGGUCACUUGGUCAUGUGAUCAACCUGAGCAGCAGAGAGCUGGACUCAGUGGACUGUGCUGCUCUGAUCUUCAUCCUCAAACAUGGAGACGGAGUCAAACUGAACCUCCUGUGGACCUCCAUACCAGCAGAGGGAGUAGAGUCCAUCCUCUUCAUGCUGGACAAAGUUUCUCAUCUCAGGUCAGAUAAUAGAGCUCGUUUCUCAGUGCCGUCCAACACAGAGUCAUCAGCUGGUUCAUUUCUGCAUGUGUUU
ensembl:lncRNA